AACGAACGCUGGCGGCAUGCCUAACACAUGCAAGUCGAACGAGACCUUCGGGUCUAGUGGCGCACGGGUGCGUAACGCGUGGGAAUCUACCCUUGGGUUCGGAAUAACAGUUAGAAAUGACUGCUAAUACCGGAUGAUGACGUAAGUCCAAAGAUUUAUCGCCCAAGGAUGAGCCCGCGUAAGAUUAGCUUGUUGGUGGGGUAAUGGCCUACCAAGGCGACGAUCUUUAGCUGGUCUGAGAGGAUGAUCAGCCACACUGGGACUGAGACACGGCCCAGACUCCUACGGGAGGCAGCAGUGGGGAAUAUUGGACGAUGGGCGAAAGCCUGAUUCAGCAAUGCCGCGUGAGUGAUGAAGGCCUUAGGGUUGUAAAGCUCUUUUACCAGGGAUGAUAAUGACAGUACCUGGAGAAUAAGCUCCGGCUAACUCCGUGCCAGCAGCCGCGGUAA
rnacentral:rRNA from 1 species